rnacentral:rRNA from 1 species
CCUACGGGAGGCAGCAGUGGGGAAUAUUGGACAAUGGGCGAAAGCCUGAUCCAGCCAUGCCGCGUGUGUGAAGAAGGCCUUCGGGUUGUAAAGCACUUUCAGUGGGGAAGAAAGCCUUGGGGCUAAUACCCUCGAGGAAGGACAUCACCCACAGAAGAAGCACCGGCUAACUCCGUGCCAGCAGCCGCGGUAAUACGGAGGGUGCGAGCGUUAAUCGGAAUUACUGGGCGUAAAGCGCGCGUAGGCGGUCUGAUAAGCCGGUUGUGAAAGCCCCGGGCUCAACCUGGGAACGGCAUCCGGAACUGUCAGGCUAGAGUGCAGGAGAGGAAGGGAGAAUUCCCGGUGGAGCGGUGAAAUGCGUAGAGAUCGGGAGGAAUACCAGUGGCGAAGGGGGCCUUCUGGACUGACACUGACGCUGAGGUGCGAAAGCGUGGGUAGCAAACAGGAUUAGAUACCCGUGUAGUC